rnacentral:rRNA from 1 species
GAUGAACGCUAGCGGCAGGCUUAACACAUGCAAGUCGAGGGGUAGAAGGAGCUUGCUCCUUUGAGACCGGCGCACGGGUGCGUAACGCGUAUGCAAUCUACCUUUUGCAGAGGAUAGCCCAGAGAAAUUUGGAUUAAUACCUCAUAGUAUGUGAGGAUGGCAUCAUUUUCACAUUAAAGUCACAACGGCAAAAGAUGAGCAUGCGUCCCAUUAGCUAGUUGGUAAGGUAACGGCUUACCAAGGCUACGAUGGGUAGGGGUCCUGAGAGGGAGAUCCCCCCACACUGGUACUGAGACACGGACCAGACUCCUACGGGAGCAGCAGUGAGGAAUAUUGGACAAUGGGCGCAAGCCUGAUCCAGCCAUGCCGCGUGCAGGAUGACGGUCCUAUGGAUUGUAAACUGCUUUUGUAACAGGAAGAAACACUAACUUCGUGAAGUAGCUUGACGGUACUGUAA